GGCUUUUAGGAGCAUGUGCACGCCCGCCAUCUUUAUCCAUCCACCUGUGCACCUUUUGUAGUCUUGGGAAUAAUAACAGUGCAGGCCGACCCGCUCGAUGAGCUUGUCAGCUCUUCGGAUAUGUGGAUUGCUGUGCGAAAGUACAGCUCUCUGCAAAUGAAGCCUUAUCUCUUACCUCAAGUCUAUGUCCUUUCAUAUACCACAUAGCAUGUUAUAGAAUGUAUUACAUGGGCCUCUGUGCCUAUAAAUCUAUACAACUUUCAGCAACGGAUCUCUUGGCUCUCGCAUCGAUGAAGAACGCAGCGAAAUGCGAUAAGUAAUGUGAAUUGCAGAAUUCAGUGAAUCAUCGAAUCUUUGAACGCACCUUGCGCUCCUUGGUAUUCCGAGGAGCAUGCCUGUUUGAGUGUCAUUAAAUUCUCAACCACUUCAGUUUUUAUAACUGGAGUUGGCUUGGAGUUGGGGGUUUUUGCGGGCCUUUCUGAGGUCGGCUCCCCUGAAAUGCAUUAGCAGAACCGUUUGCGGUACGUUGCCGGUGUGAUAAUUAUCUACGCCAUAAACGACCACUGCUCUCUGUCUGUUCAGCUUCUAAUCGUCCUUUGAUGGACAAUUUUUGAACUCUUGACCUCAAAUCAGGUAGGACUACCCGCUGAACUUAAGCAUAUCAAUAAGCCGGAGGA
rnacentral:rRNA from 1 species